rnacentral:rRNA from 1 species
ACACUCCUGCGGGAGGCAGCAGUGGGGAAUAUUGCACAAUGGGCGCAAGCCUGAUGCAGCCAUGCCGCGUGUAUGAAGAAGGCCUUCGGGUUGUAAAGUACUUUCAGCGGGGAGGAAGGCAAUACGGUUAAUAACCGUGUUGAUUGACGUUACCCGCAGAAGAAGCACCGGCUAACUCCGUGCCAGCAGCCGCGGUAAUACGGAGGGUGCAAGCGUUAAUCGGAAUUACUGGGCGUAAAGCGCACGCAGGCGGUCUGUCAAGUCGGAUGUGAAAUCCCCGGGCUCAACCUGGGAACUGCAUUCGAAACUGGCAGGCUUGAGUCUUGUAGAGGGGGGUAGAAUUCCAGGUGUAGCGGUGAAAUGCGUAGAGAUCUGGAGGAAUACCGGUGGCGAAGGCGGCCCCCUGGACAAAGACUGACGCUCAGGUGCGAAAGCGUGGGGAGCAAACAGGAUUAGAUACCCCGGUAGUCCC